rnacentral:lncRNA from 1 species
AGGAAGAAGAAAGCUGAGGUUUACCCUAAACAGAUGCUUACUCAAAGAAUUUCGUCUUGGGAAAGGGUUUAUCUGAAUGGUUGUAUAUGCCGCUGUUUUAAACACUUAUCCUACAUGUAAGCAAUCUUAUGGGGUUUGUUUUGCAAAGAAGUAAACUGCCACUUAAGAAACUGAAGCACUUUUUCAAUGUCUUUAAGGCCAGCAGAACAGCCAAGAUUUUAACCAGAGCUAAGACACAUGGCUCUGAGUAAAUUCACAACAGGAUGUCAUAGAGAAAAUGGUACCAUGUACUUUAUUUUGGUCCCUCAUGAGAAACAAGAUAAGGAAACAGGCUGAGAAAGGUCCUUUUCUCAAUGUCACUUGUGUACUGUUGGGAGCUGGGACUCCAUCCCAGGUUCCGCAGAUCUCAGGAGAGUUUGGUAAUGAAGAGAAGACAGAGAAGAAUAGAGAGAGGAAGCAGCAACAAUUACAAGGAAUUUAGAACACAGUCUGAGAAGGAGGCUUCCAUGUGUAAAACUCUGAGGCAGGUGCCACAAGGACACAUGCAUUUAGGAUGCACACUCACCUGGUUGGACUAUAAUCUAGUUGAAGGAUGGCAAGGCAAUAUGACAAGUACAUUAAUUACAAGAAAUAAUAUGGCGAAGUCGCGUCUACUGGAACCACAGAAGGUUGAUAUAUUCUCAUCUCUCACAGCCUAUGGUCACCAAUAA